rnacentral:rRNA from 1 species
UAGGGAAUUUUGGACAAUGGGCGAAAGCCUGAUCCAGCCAUGCCGCGUGAGUGAAGAAGGCCUUCGGGUUGUAAAGCUCUUUUAGUCGGAAAGAAAGAGUCGCAAUGAAUAAUUGUGAUUUAUGACGGUACCGACAGAAAAAGCACCGGCUAACUACGUGCCAGCAGCCGCGGUAAUACGUAGGGUGCGAGCGUUAAUCGGAAUUACUGGGCGUAAAGGGUGCGCAGGCGGUCUUGCAAGUCAGAUGUGAAAGCCCCGGGCUUAACCUGGGAAUUGCGUUUGAAACUACAAGGCUAGAGUGCAGCAGAGGGGAGUGGAAUUCCAUGUGUAGCAGUGAAAUGCGUAGAGAUGUGGAAGAACACCGAUGGCGAAGGCAGCUCCCUGGGUUGACACUGACGCUCAUGCACGAAAGCGUGGGGAGCAAACA